GUGAGUGCAGGAGCAAGAAAGUCUGUGUGCUCGCGUGUUGCGUGGAUGUGUGGGUCUGGGUGUGAGCCUGGGCCUCCGUGCACGCGUCUGAGGAUGUCUGUGGCAGUUUCACAGGGACCAAGCGUGAUUCUGCACGCGGGGCCAGGAGAGUGGGUGCCUUCAUGAAUGUAUUUCUGAAGGGGUUCACUCACUCAGCAACCGUCAGCCCCUCCCGCCUCUUCCUGAUGCCAGCGUCUCCCCAGUGCCGGGCCAGGUCCCCAAACCGGAGAAGAGUGGGAUUUUAUGUUCUUGGAGCACAGUGAAGAGCUGCCACGGGAGAUGCCUUCCUUUUCCCUUGACCCUUUGGCUAAAUCCUGGUGGUCUUCCUGGAGGAAGCAAGGAAGGAGAGAAGUCCCGCCAGUCUGAGUGGAGAGUCUGGCCUCUCUCCCUGGCCCUGGUGGGUGUGGGGAGCAGGGGCCUUUUAGAGACCUCACAGGCAUGAAGGAUAUACCAUUAAAAGCUUUUGGGGGGCGCCUGGCUGGCUCAGCCUGUAAA